UGGGGAAUCAUAGACAAUGGGCGGAAGCCUGAUCUUGCCAUGCCGCGUGAACGAUGAAGGCCUUAGGGUUGUAAAGUUCUUUCACCGGUGACGAUAAUGACGGUAGCCGGAGAAGAAGCCCCGGCUAACUCCGUGCCAGCAGCCGCGGUAAUACGGAGGGGGCUAGCGUUGUUCGGAAUUACUGGGCGUAAAGCGCGCGUAGGCGGGCAUUUAAGUCGGGGGUGAAAUCCCGGGGCUCAACCCCGGAACUGCCUUCGAUACUGGGUGCCUAGAGGUCGAGAGAGGUGAGUGGAAUUCCGAGUGUAGAGGUGAAAUUCGUAGAUAUUCGGAGGAACACCCGUGGCGAAGGCGGCUCACUGGCUCGAUACUGACGCUGAGGUGCGAAAGCGUGGGGAGCAAACAGGAUUAGAUACCCCCGUAGUCC
rnacentral:rRNA from 1 species